rnacentral:hammerhead_ribozyme from 1 species
AGCAGCUGACGAGUUCCAAAUAGGACGAAACGCGCGUCCUGGAU